AAGGCCUAGGGAGGCAGCAGUGGGGAAUUCUGCGCAAUGGGGGAAACCCCGACGCAGCAACGCCGCGUGCGGGAUGACGGCCCUCGGGUUGUAAACCGCUUUCAGCAGGGAAGAUAUUGACGGUACCUGCAGAAGAAGCUCCGGCUAACUACGUGCCAGCAGCCGCGGUAAUACGUAGGGAGCGAGCGUUAUCCGGAUUCAUUGGGCGUAAAGCGCGCGUAGGCGGCUGCCUAAGCGGAACCUCUAACCCCGGGGCUCAACCUCGGGCCGGGUUCCGAACUGGGCGGCUCGAGUGCGGUAGAGGG
rnacentral:rRNA from 1 species